UACAGAGGGGGCAAGCGUUGUUCGGAAUUACUGGGCGUAAAGGGCGCGUAGGCGGCCUGUUAAGUCGAACGUGAAAUCCCCGGGCUCAACCCGGGAACUGCGUCCGAUACUGGCAGGCUUGAAUUCGGGAGAGGGAUGCGGAAUUCCAGGUGUAGCGGUGGAAUGCGCAGAUAUCAGGAGGAACACCAAUAGCGAAGGCAGCUCGCUGGGACGUUACUGACACUGAGGCGCGAAAGCGUGGGGAGCGAACAGG
rnacentral:rRNA from 1 species